rnacentral:rRNA from 1 species
UACAGAGGUCCCAAGCGUUUGUUCGGAUUCAUUGGGCGUAAAGGGUGCGUAGGUGGCGCUGUAAGUCGGGUGUGAAAUUUCGGAGCUUAACUCCGAAACUGCAUUCGAUACUGCGGUGCUUGAGGACUGGAGAGGAGACUGGAAUUCAUGGUGUAGCAGUGAAAUGCGUAGAGAUCAUGAGGAAGACCAGUGGCGAAGGCGGGUCUCUGGACAGUUCCUGACACUGAGGCACGAAGGCCAGGGGAGCAAACAGG